rnacentral:pre_miRNA from 1 species
ACACCCCUAUGGAGCAGGACUUACUUUAGUGGGGCUUUGGUGCUCACUGAGUCUGCCCCUUGAGUGUGUUGCU